rnacentral:rRNA from 1 species
AACGAACGCUGGCGGCAGGCUUAACACAUGCAAGUCGAACGGCAGCACGGAGCUUGCUCUGGUGGCGAGUGGCGAACGGGUGAGUAAUAUAUCGGAACGUACCCUGGAGUGGGGGAUAACGUAGCGAAAGUUACGCCAAUACCGCAUACGAUCUAUGGAUGAAAGUGGGGGAUCGCAAGACCUCAUGCUCCUGGAGCGGCCGAUAUCUGAUUAGCUAGUUGGUGGGGUAAAGGCCUACCAAGGCAUCGAUCAGUAGCUGGUCUGAGAGGACGACCAGCCACACUGGAACUGAGACACGGUCCAGACUCCUACGGGAGGCAGCAGUGGGGAAUUUUGGACAAUGGGGGCAACCCUGAUCCAGCAAUGCCGCGUGAGUGAAGAAGGCCUUCGGGUUGUAAAGCUCUUUUGUCAGGGAAGAAACGGUGAGAGCUAAUAUCUCUUGCUAAUGACGGUACCUGAAGAAUAAGCACCGGCUAACUACGUGCCAGCAGCCGCAGUAACAC